rnacentral:rRNA from 1 species
ACGGGUGAGUAACACGUGGGUGAUCUGCCCUGCACUUCGGGAUAAGCCUGGGAAACUGGGUCUAAUACCGGAUAUGACCUCCUAUCGCAUGGUGGGUGGUGGAAAGAUUUAUCGGUGCAGGAUGGGCCCGCGGCCUAUCAGCUUGUUGGUGGGGUAAUGGCCUACCAAGGCGACGACGGGUAGCCGACCUGAGAGGGUGACCGGCCACACUGGGACUGAGACACGGCCCAGACUCCUACGGGAGGCAGCAGUGGGGAAUAUUGCACAAUGGGCGAAAGCCUGAUGCAGCGACGCCGCGUGAGGGAUGACGGCCUUCGGGUUGUAAACCUCUUUCAGCAGGGACGAAGCGCAAGUGACGGUACCUGCAGAAGAAGCACCGGCUAACUACGUGCCAGCAGCCGCGGUAAUACGUAGGGUGCAAGCGUUGUCCGGAAUUACCGGGCGUAAAGAGUUCGUAGGCGGUUUGUCGCGUCGUUUGUGAAAACCAGCAGCUCAACUGCUGGCUUGCAGGCGAUACGGGCAGACUUGAGUACUGCAGGGGAGACUGGAAUUCCUGGUGUAGCGGUGAAAUGCGCAGA